CAGUCGCCGCGGUAAUACGUAGGUGGCAAGCGUUGUCCGGAAUUAUUGGGCGUAAAGGGCUCGCAGGCGGUUUCUUAAGUCUGAUGUGAAAGCCCCCGGCUCAACCGGGGAGGGUCAUUGGAGACUGUCAAACUUGAGUGCAGAAGGGGAGAGUGGAAUUCCAUGUGUAGCGGUGAAAUGCGUAGAUAUAUGGAGGAACACCGGUGGCGAAGGCGGCUCUCUGGUCUGUAACUGACGCUGAGGCUCGAAAGCGUGGGGAGCGAACAGGAUUAGAUACCCCAGUAGUCCCUGUCUCUUAUAC
rnacentral:rRNA from 1 species